rnacentral:rRNA from 1 species
UACAGAGGGUGCAAGCGUUGUUCGGAAUUAUUGGGCGUAAAGCGCGUGUAGGCGGCUUUGCAAGUCGGGUGUGAAAGCCCUCAGCUCAACUGAGGAAGUGCGCCCGAAACUGCAGAGCUUGAGUGCCGGAGAGGGUAGCGGAAUUCCCCAAGUAGAGGUGAAAUUCGUAGAUAUGGGGAGGAACACCGGUGGCGAAAGCGGCUCUCUGGCCCGGUUCUGACGCUGAGGCGCGAAAGCGUGGGGAGCAAACAGG